CCUACGGGCGGCAGCAGUGAGGAAUAUUGGUCCAUGGGCGCGAGCCUGAACCAGCCAAGUAGCGUGAAGGAUGACUGCCCUACGGGUUGUAACCUUCUUUUAUAAAGGAAUAUAGUGAGGCACGUGUGCCUUUUUGUAUGUACUUUAUGAAUAAGGAUCGGCUAACUCCGUGCCAGCAGCCGCGGUAAUACGGAGAAUCCGAGCGUUAUCCGGAUUUAUUGGGUUUAAAGGGAGCGUAGAUGGGUUGUUAAGUCAGUUGUGAAAGUUUGCGGCUCAACCGUAAAACUGCAAUUGAUACUGGCAGUCUUGAGUACAGUUGAGGUAGGCGGAAUUCGUGGUGUAGCGGUGAAAUGCUUAGAGAUCACGAAGAACUCCGAUUGCGAAGGCAGCUUACUAAACUGCCACUGACAUUGAUGCUCGAAAGUGUGGGUAUCAAACAGGAUUAGAUACUCUUGUAGUC
rnacentral:rRNA from 1 species